AGAUGGCAGAAAGCAGGCCCAGAGAUGAUAAGAACUGUGGAGGCACGUCCAGUGUUCCUGGGGAAAAGAAGAAUGAACUUUUCUUUAACCUCCAUGCAUGACACCUCAUCUUUACAAAUGCAGAUGGCAGAGUUGAAGAAGGCAGUAGCUAAGUGGUGGUGAUAUUCCUUGGAUGUUCAUCUCAAGAGAUGGAGAAGAAAACAGCAAUCACCUGGCAGCCAGUGGAAAGUCAGAACACAGAGGCAUAAACAGACGCGUUCCUACAGAUCUAGUCAAAAAGGCUCAGGAACUUGGAAACAUGGGACAGGAGAGUGCCAGAGACCUCAGAGCAUUGCACCAGGUGCAAUCCCUGCACCAGGAUGGUGGGAUGGGAUUUCCAUUAGCAGGAUAAGCUGGAGACCUGGGAAAAAAGAGGUACCUAAACUACUGAUUUG